CCGCCGCAGCGGUUUCUAAGUGGGCUCUGCAGCCUCGGGCUUCGGCCCGUCCCGGGGCUCACGGAUGCUCGCGCCCCCUGCGGUCGGCGCGCUGGCCUGAGCCUCUGGCUCGCGGCCGCAGCCGCUGCAGACGCUGCCUGGCGCGGUGGGGCAGCGAGCAAAAUGGCCUGCAACUACGGUUGCCUAGGGGCUGUGCAGAGCCCUCCUCGGAGGACGACCCUACCCCAGCCUAACUUCUGUACCCCUGCAUAGCCCCCCAAGUGAAAGCCGUGCCCUGGGGGCCUACUCAACACCGAACAUACCCACGGUGAAAAAUUGACCAAGAUAAUAAUCAAGAAUGUUAGAAGUAACAAAAUAGCAUUUAAGGAAGAAAGCAUACCUAUAAACUUUCACCUAGGAAGGAAAAGGUGCUUACUUUGUCAGAUGUAGCAUUGUCAAAACAAGUGUGAAGCUUGGAAAUGGAGGACCUGUAUGUCUGAGAAGAUGAAAUUAAGGCCCAUCUUAGAGGUGCAACAAAAAUCUGUACAUCGUUCGCUGAUCUGUGUCUAAGAUCCUGUGGGAAACUAUAGUACUCUGUGCAACAGAAUCUGAAGGAGAAGGGCUCAGAAGUGACAGAUUUAAGUGUACCUAAAUCCCAGGACUCACUAUGUCCAGCAGCAAGACUUAGAGUACAUCAGAAUAUUAGCUCAGAAACUGAGGAACAUCAAUUCCAUGCGGUACUUUCUCCUGAGUGAAAGGCCACUUCUGCACAGAGAUGGCUUACAAAGAGAUCUGCAGGAAAAGCCAGGGUUUAAGAAGCAGCUUUGGAUUCCACUGGCUUCAUUCUUCAGGUGAAAACACAGAAGCUUGGAGAAGUUGAGGGAAGUCAGCUGCCAUGUUGUGAGCGGCUCCAUGGAAAGGCCCAUGUGGCAAGGAACUGAGACAUCUUGCCAAUAGCCAGUGAGAAACCGAGGCCUCCAGUCAACAUCCAGAGAUAUUUUCAGGAUGAAACUUGACUUGGGGAGUCUGUUCAAUGGAGGUCUGUGGAGAGGGACUGAGAAGGAGAUGAACGUGCUUUCAUCUGGGCGCCUGCUGCCCUUGCAGCACCACAUCAGGGGCAGUUCUUGGGAGCCCUAGGUCCUACAUGAUUCUGCUUCUCCUGUGCCUCUGCAUCACCAUGGAAGACUCUGCUUCACCUCAACUGCCCAUAGGAGGAAGAGGGUUACUAUAAAAGGCAAAACAUUUAAAGGAGAGUCUUCAAACAACAAACAAACCGAUCAGGAAUCCACAAAUCAUUGCUCUAGGUUAGUGGUUCUCAAUAGACGUGAUUGUGUCCCCCAGGGGAAUUUGGCAAUGUCUGGAGACAUUUUUUGUUGUCAUGACUUGAGGGUGAGCUGCUAAUGACAUCUGGUAAGUAGAUGCUGGGGGUAUUGCCAAACAUCCUACAAUGCACAACAUAGACCCCCACAAUAAUAAACUAUUUGGCCUA